rnacentral:rRNA from 1 species
UACGAAGGGGGCUAGCGUUGCUCGGAAUCACUGGGCGUAAAGCGCACGUAGGCGGAUUGUUAAGUCAGGGGUGAAAUCCUGGAGCUCAACUCCAGAACUGCCUUUGAUACUGGCGAUCUCGAGUCCGGGAGAGGUGAGUGGAACUGCGAGUGUAGAGGUGAAAUUCGUAGAUAUUCGCAAGAACACCAGUGGCGAAGGCGGCUCACUGGCCCGGUACUGACGCUGAGGUGCGAAAGCAUGGGGAGCGAACAGG